rnacentral:tRNA from 2 species
GCCGAAGUAGCUCAACGGUAGAGCAAUCGCUUUGUAAGCGAUGGGUUGGGGGUUCGAUUCCUCUCUUCGGCU